rnacentral:misc_RNA from 1 species
ACAGGGGACUGACCGGCGCUUCGGGAUAGGGUCUAUCCAGCAGCACGCUGCCCGAUAUUUCCAGCGAUGAGCGCAAGGUGAUCGGAUCGGCCGGAAACCAUNNGCAUGGCGCAGAGAAUGUCGCUCGACGAUCCGACCUGCCCGACAUUGAUCGGAUCGGCGGGGAUGCCCUGCGCGGUGACCGUCACCAUCGGCAUGCCGUCGAGUUUUUU